ensembl:lncRNA
CCCACUGACCGCGUCCCUCAGUGCCACACCCACACGGUUCUUGAACACCUCCAGGAGCAGCGACUGCACCGCCUCCCUGGGCAGCCUGGGCCACUGCAGCACCACUUUCUGAGAAGUUGCUCCUAAUAUCCAGUCCCAUCAGGGGUUGUGAUUACGUUUACUAGCUCCCAGCCCUGCUCUUGCAGCACGGGGACAGGCUUUAUGCAGAGGUGAAAGAAGGGUACAUCUGCCGAGGUCCACCCAUGGCCUGAAUGCUCCUCAGAUGAUGUCCUGCCAUGGGACCAUGCCUGCAGCUUGACAUGAGCCUCUACUUACAGGACAGUAAAGUACACCUGCCCUGUCCUCCCUGACAACUACUCUCCUAUGAAGUAGAGUGUGUACAAAGACAGAACUAGUAACAGCAUGGACCAUGUAAAGGACCAGAUGGAAAACAGCUUUUCUGAGGCUACUACAUCUUCCUGGAGAGUUAUUGGGGAGAUGAGCUGGAUGAUGAUAAUUUGCAAUUUGAUUCCUGAAAACUGGUUUGAUUCCAGGCUAAUUUUCUCUCCGUUAUAUCCAUUCCACUUCACUCUCUUCAUUGAGGAUGACGGGUGUAAAUAAUAGCAGCCAAUUGUUUCCCUGUGACCUUAUGCAAAAAUGAAUGAGAUCCUUCAAGACUUGGUUGUCUGUGCAUUCAUAAUAAUAAGCUAUCAGUCCUACCCCUCUGCUAAGGGUUCAUCAGCAGAAAUGAGUUCAUACCUCUAAGCCAACCACCAGACCAACAUCUCAGCUUAAAUCACCAAUGGGAUGAAGAAGCACGUCUGAGUUACUGCAAAACCUUCACUAACUCCAUCCCUGACAGCACCUUUUGGAUUCCCCAGAAGCGGACAUUGCCAUUAAUUAGUGCCUUCCAUGUAAUACCAGCCUGAUGGAAAGAGAAGACAAGCCUGACAAAAUGGCUCUUGUGUCAAAGGUGUUGAUAAUGGACAGAUAAAUAACCAUGCUUCAGCUGCACCUAAGCCCUGGAGACAUAAGCUUCUUGCACAAAACUGUUUCUUGUAGUAACUAUUAAUUUUGUGUAGUGCACUCAGUAAAAGACAAUGAUUGUUCACAAUGUUGAAUAUACUGUAUUUAAUUUUAUUUAUGAAAAAAAUCUUUGAAGAUG